rnacentral:rRNA from 1 species
UGGGGAAUAUUGGACAAUGGGCGAAAGCCUGAUCCAGCAAUGCCGCGUGAGUGAUGAAGGCCUUAGGGUUGUAAAGCUCUUUUACCCGGGAAGAUAAUGACUGUACCGGGAGAAUAAGCCCCGGCUAACUCCGUGCCAGCAGCCGCGGUAAUACGGAGGGGGCUAGCGUUGUUCGGAAUUACUGGGCGUAAAGCGCACGUAGGCGGCUUUGUAAGUUAGAGGUGAAAGCCUGGGGCUCAACUCCAGAAUUGCCUUUAAGACUGCAUCGCUUGAACGUCGGAGAGGUGAGUGGAAUUCCGAGUGUAGAGGUGAAAUUCGUAGAUAUUCGGAAGAACACCAGUGGCGAAGGCGACUUACUGGACACAUAUUGACGCUGAGGUGCGAAAGCGUGGGGAGCAAAC